UACCAGCUUCUCACUGGAAGGAAGUUUAUGUUUAGGGAAAGUAGGAAUACAAAUACUACUGUUCCAAAGCUAUAUCUUCUUUAGAGCACAUUUACUCAGGGCCUUUCAGAGAGAAACCUGACCUUGCUUUUACAUGAGAUAUUGGAUUUUAGCUGAUGUGCUUCAGCUGAUCACGAUGGUGUUUUAUAAGCAGAGACGUCAGCUCAUACAGGAGGCCUGCAACUUGCUGCGAGCAAGAAUGUGCUGCUGUUGCUGGGUGGAAUUCUCCAUCCAGCCUUGUAGAGGUCAAACAGCCAAAUCAGAUUAUUUUUGCCAUAAUUUCUUAUAUAUUUUUUUAACUUGGAAAAAGGAAGCAAUAUUUAGAGUGAUUUCAAGCUGUUUCUAGUUUCCUGUAGCUCCCUGGCCUUGGCCACAGGCUCUGUUUAAAAUACUGACACCUUGGCUUGGGUUUUACAGGCAGUAUGUUCUCUUUAGACAAAGUCCACCAUUCUUUUUGCACCUAGAUCAAAGUAAGAAUUUUAGCAAAAUUACUGGAAGGAGAUGUUUAAAAGGAAAAAAAAAAAACCAGAGUAGAUUUUGUCUCUCUUAGAAGCAUCACAUGAUUCCCUUUAGCAGCCUGUGCAUCAGGGAAAAUGGCCUCAGUAUGGGAUAGAUUUGAGUCAGAUCAACAUGUAGCAGCUCUAGGAACUGCACUUAUAAACAAAGCACAAAAAUCAUCAUCAAUAUGUCAGAGGGUUGCAGUGACCCAAAUGAGAGCCUGUACUACUAAUUACUGACUUAACUGAGAAGUGUCUGAGGACUUACAAAUUGCCUUUUUUUUCUUUUAUAGCAGGAGGAAAAAAGGAAACCUGUUAUACUUCAAGGGCUGCUCUAUGUGUGUGGUCUUUUCCUCACAAAAGCUUACCUGAAAAGUGUUAUGUUCAUAAGCAUCCUGCAGCUAUUUUAACUUCUUUUUCUUGGCUGUAGUUCUAAUAGAACUUCUGCCCAAGUAUCAAAAUGUACCACAGACAGGUAACUACUCAGGCAGCAAAGUAGGUUAUCUCAGACCACAUAGCCAGCAACACACAUAUUGUUUUCCACUCCUGUGUCUAAUGUAGACAACCUUUGCAUAAUGCACUUAUGCUGUAGAGAAAACAGACACACCUUCAAUAACUGAGGGUGAUUUGCAAUUAACUGUAAAGUGCAAAGCAGCUGUCCUAAUUAGAACACAGGAAAAAAGGGCUUUUAGAUCUUCACAUAGCAUCGUACAUACCCUGAAAGUCCCUGACUUACAUAUUCUUUCGGAAUUACUUGCUGUCUAGUUACAAUCAGCAGAAUUUCCUAUAAUGAUACAUCAUUGUUUUCUUACCAUAUCAAAAGCUACAUGGUAAAUGGUCUUUCUGUUUUGGUUUUAACAGCUUCAUACACAGGUGUCUCCAAGAUUUACUUUUUCUUUCCCCUCACAGAAUGGGCAAGGUUGAAAAGAUUUACACUGGAUCACCUCCCUGCUCAAGGAAGGUCAUCCUAGAACACAUUGCACAGGAUUGUGUCCAGAUCAUUCUUGAAUAUUUUUUUACUGGAUAGCAUCACACUGUUGUGCUCUGUGUUGAAUGCUGAAAGUAAACAACAAGUAGAUGAAAGUAGCAAACCAAAAUAUGAAAUUGUAGUUUUGUCCCUUUCAAAACUAUUUUAAGUUUUACUCUAUUAAAUACUGUCACUGCUGCUUUCUGUUUUACCUACAAUUAUGAUAGGGUGAGAGGGCAGAUCAGACUCUGGAUCAGACUGUGGGAAUCCUUAACAUCAGAAGGUUUUAAGAAAGCUACAAAAGGCAAACCUCAGAGACAACAGAACUACGAUUAGAGCUAAGCAGUAACCAUAAGAUUUUUCAGACAAAAAAUUAUAUAAGAAAUAAAAAAGUAAAGACAAAUAGAACAAUAGUCUGUGUAUUAACACUUGUCUAAAAUAACUCCCUAAGCAACAUAAAAGUAUAUCUAGUGAAAUAUUAGAAAGUUCUAAGCUUAAUAAUAGAGCUCUGUGCAUUAUAUCUUAAAGCUUACAAACAGUUAUUGUAUUCAAAAAAACCAAACAUUGUUUUAACCAAAAGUACAUGUACUUAUAGUAGUUAGAUAGAACUAUUGUCAAUAUUCUUUUGCUUUAUGUAAUUAGUUAAAAAACUUUUAAAGGAAGUUGUAGUAUUAAGUUCUUUGUGUACUACCAAAGAUGUGAUCUACUAACAUUUUCCCAUUAUCAUAACCAUGUAAUAAGACUGCUACUAAAAAAUAAACAGCUUAAGAUGUGUUCCUAAUUAGUCCAAUCCCAUUUGUGAUUUAUACAUAAACCCCCAACCAACAAUACAGACCUUUGAAAUUUUUACAUUUGCCAAGAAGCCAUUGUAAUGAUUCUCAAACAAUUCAAGAAAAGCCACUAGCCUGAUAUACCAAAACCACCAUCAGUUUGUGGGUGCACCCACCACUGUGCAGAUGUGCUUAGGGCUGUGUGUGUGCUUUGGGCUGUGUAGGUACUUGGUUUAACUUGCCGUAUGCAAGAAAAGAGCCCGUGAUCAGAUACAUCCAGAAGCUUGUACAAGAGGUGGGGACCACUGCCAGGCCUGUUCCUCUUAAAUAUUUCUUGCAAGAUAAAUAAGCAAAAGUAUUAUGGUACAGAUAAUAUGGUGAUAGAAAAGGGAAGGAAAUGGACUUGUGGAGUCCAAGCCUGCCUGCACUUUAAUUUGGCCACUUACCUUGUUUUUCAUUUUGCCAGUACAGAAGAGGUAAUACUGUGAUAAGCAGAAAAUGAGUUUGCAUUUCAUAAGGGAGCCUGAGUUCUAUAAGAACAUAUUGAUUCAGCCCAGCAGAGAAUUUUACAUCUCUCUGCUUCCUCCAAAGCAGUGCAUUCUUACCCUUUUGCAAUAUACAGCACUGGCUGUUUUUGAAAUGUUGAUGCAGUUUGUCAAAGCAAUGAGGUUGUUCUCAUUUAUGAGAAGACUUCUUUCUACACCUAGAUUAGUGCAGAAGUGCAGAGGAAACUUUCAGAAAGCAAUAACUGAAGUUCAGUGCCUUUAAUGUGCCUGUAUUUUUUAAGAUUAGUGCACAUUACUGUCAGCAGCUUUUAUACCUGAGGAAUCAGACAAAACAUUGCAGGAAAACACACUAAAGCCUUUAAGGAGAAAGGAAUAAGUGGAACUGCAAUGGUUAUUGUUUUUUUUUAUUGUCUGUCUUUAAGAAAAUUCCUCUUUGUGACAUCUCCCCCGCUACCAAUAUUCCCCAGCAGGCAAACUAUUUUUGUCUAUUAAUCAUAUAUGUGCUGUCAAUAUUGGCUCCUUUGUUAACAAAGCAAAAAUCAAUGAAGCUGAAGUCAAGGAUAGUUCGGUUUCUAUUAGAGUUUCAGCAUGAUGCAAAAUGAGUUUUCUUUUACUGAUUAACACCUCUGAGUCUGAAAUUCUGGUGAUUUUUGCAAGGGGAGAAUUUAUUGCUUCAAUAAUCAUACUAGGUCUUCCUAUUAAAAAAGAAUAAUUUAGUCUUCCUAUGUCUCUGUGUAAAUUUCAGGGGGGAAAUGGUGAGAUAGGAGAGAUGUGGCUGCCUAGUGCUGCGGGCAGGGGUGAUUAGUUUUAUACUUAUUUUUCAGGUUGUACAUCAUGAUAUCAAACUUGCUAAACACUCUUGAGAGCAGGAGACAGGGAAAAAUCAGCUUGCAAACCCAAUUACACACUUUAAAUGGUAUUGUCAAUAUUUCCAGCCUUUGGAGUCCCUGAAAAGGAUAGAUUAUUAUUGGGAAAUCAUCUUAACUAUUCUACAGACCUUCAGAUACUAUAAAUUACCAUCUUCCCACAGUAGUAGCAGUUUAUAUCACUUUAAUCCCUGAGUUGUAAAUCAAACCACCAGACUUCUCAGUUCAAGCAAUUUACUAUUUAAAGGUUGGGCCUAAAGUAGUGGUCACAACAGUCCCUGUUAAAUUCAAGCUCUGUGUGUGUGUUUGCUUAUUGGAAAACCUGAAAUCACUUAAGGUUUCUCUUCUUUCUGACCAGUAACACCACCAGCUAAUUAUUCCUGAAGAGCGAUCCCUCAAGAGAAGGCUGACAUCUGUGCCACAGAUUGACUGCUCUAUUAGGAGCCUACUGUUAUAUGCAGUCCAUGUCUGAUCAGAUUUCAUGUGCCUUGAAAUCCAGACAACCUGGAAUGGGAUACUCUUAGGCAGUUAAAUUACAUCAAAUAUUUAAACAGAAUUUGACAGCAUCUAUUAUGUCUCUUUAAAAAUCUUCUUGCUAUCAGAACUAACCACACAGCUUAAAAAUUGUAUGACUUUUACAAUGAGUAACACUUUCUGCUUCCUAUAUCCCCCAAGAAUAAUUUUUCAUGGCAGUUUCCAGUGUUUCCACAACACAGCCAGCAAUCUCCCAUGAAAGUUUCUAAUCCUAUUUCCACUGAAGGCAAUGCCACUAAAACCACUUUUGUACUAAUUUAAAGAGAAGAAAGAAAGGAGGAGGGAACUAAUAAUUUAUAGUACAGAUUGAACCUGGAUGAAGCAAAUAGAAAAUUAUAUCAGUUUUUCAGUAGAGUCUGAGUGCAACAAGCAAAAUACUUUAUUGCAAGACCUCUUUGGUUUAGUACCCAAGAACACCAAGAACCCUGGAAAGGAGGCCAGUGGUGCAUUGCCAGCUAGUGGAAUGAAUUCCAGCACAAAGGAGUUAAAUAACUUUCUUGUGACCAUGACUGGUUUCAGUGGUGAAGCUGAGGGCUGCAGUCAGGUUUUUCGACCGUCAGUGCUGUCUUUAAAUUGGUAACGUUGUCUUCUGUCUUUGGAAAAUGCCACAGUAUCAGCAUUGCUCUAGUUUGGCUCCAGUUGAAGUCAGUUAAUAUUAAGUCCAGACUCCAUAUAUAAUGAUACCAUAUUCAAUUGGUGUUUUACCUUCCUAGAAAGAUUUUUACCACUCUAACAAUGAUGAAAAUCCUCUGCAAUGUGUUUUGUCUGAUUUAAUAAUUUUAUAUAAGUAUUUAUUGAGAAAUAUUUAUUCAAGGAAAAAAAGAUUCCUUUAUGGACAUCCCACUGUCUGUUUUUGAAAGCUGUUAGCUUCCAAGGUUUUGCAGUGCUCUGAAAAAACCCAGCUUUCAUAGUGUUUGCUACAUAUUAUUCUCACAUUCAGUGUCUGCUCUAAAUUAAUGUCCUGAUAAAUUAUUCUACUUCAGAAGUUGUUAAUCUUUCAUUAUUCUGUUAUUAUUUAGGCCAUUUCACUUUAUGAUUGCAAUAGGUUGGUAUUUUAAAUAAGAAAGCAGAGCUAAGUUGCAUGGUAUUAUAAUUUUUGCUGGAUCUUCAGUAGUCUGUUGAUGUGACAUUGUGAUAACUUUGAAGUAACUUUCAUGCCAAAAUUAAAAAAUGCUGCUUUCAGAGGAUGUUGAUAUAGAAGAUUUGUACACAAAAUUAUGCUACCAGAAAGUGUGCUAUUAUAUGAUGAUAGCAAAAAAAGUAUGACAAAUGAUACUAGAAACAGAAACAAUGAGAUGGGAGGGUUUUUUUUUAAGUGAGAAAAAUUGGUAUUUUGCAUUUUUUAAAGAAACAUUUGUCUGAAGAAAUGUAGUUUUAUGAUUUAUUUCAAAUAAAUAAAUACUGAGGGGCAGUGUUGCUCAUAUUUGAAUGACUCUCAUGGUUCUAACUUCACUGUAACUUCUAACCUAGAGGUAACUUCAGCUGGCAAUGCAAUUUUAAGAGCCAGUGUUGGAGGAGAAAGGUGACAGAAGAGUAUGAAGGAUCAUCACCCUGGAUGUGAUGACAGAGGGUAUAAUAUUUGGCCAGUAAAAAUAACCUACUUCUUGAUCUACACGGUCUGACUGUAGGAAUCACUUUGAAGAGAGCUCUGUGACUGUGCCAGGAUAUCUGUGAGGAAGCAGAAUGUAUCCAAUGCUUAGUAUACUGCCCCUACCUGUGGUGAGGGGCACCUUGCUAACCUCUCUUGACUUUUCUUUGAAGGGCUGUAGCAUUCAUUCUCAUGGAGCUUUGACACUGGAGGUAUGUGGCUGAGCAGCCUUAGAGAAAAAAGAAGACAUAACACGGGUGAUGGCUGCCAGCUCCAGCAGCAACCUGGAAUUCAGUGUGAUGAAAUACCAGAAGACAUCAUGGGUCCAUGGGACAACCAUGGGACACUCCUGGUCCAUGAGCCUUCAUGAUAAGCUGUUCUCCAUGCUCUACAGAGUGAUUUCUGUGAGAGCAGGAGACCUUCUGUAUAAUUCAGUUUGAAGGGUUGCCUGCCUAUGUGUGCUCUAAGUUGAAAUCAAGUCAGGUAUUUGUCUAAUCAUUGGUAAACUGUUUUGUUUUCCUUUUCUUUUUGUCCUUUUUUUCCCCGCCAGUUAAUACAAACUUGACUGAUUUUCUCUCCUAAAGGAAGAUGUCUGUGUUUUCUCACAUAUGCAAAGCAGUGGAUGAUAAACAGAAAGAUAUAUAGCACCAAUGCAUUUAUUCAAGGGGAAAAAAACCCUCUGCAAUUAUACAAAAUUUACCACUGGAAGCGGAUACUUUAAAAAAGGGCCACACUUAAUACCUUCUGCAAUUGGUGUUUUCAAAGGUACAACAACCUUCUGGACACAGAUUAGGGAUAAGUUACAAAGGUCAUGUGGGGACAGAGAAAUAUCUUUUGUCAGUAUAGUCACUCCAAGGAAAUCAACAGAACCAGGUUCCUUUCUUAUUCAGAAUUUCAUCUCUGCCCUCUUCAUCUUGAUCUUUGCAGCUUUCUCACCUUUUCCGCAUAUCCAGAGCUACACUCACAUGUCUGCAAACCUCCCACCUGCCCCGUUUGCACUCUCCUCUUCAGCCUACCUUUGUGUUUGCCACACACCUAAGGAGUCAGCACAAGGCAUAACCUGCUCCUUUCCUCACUCUCUAACACUGCUGUGGAGAUGCAAUCUCCUCCUCACCUGUCUCCUUCUCUUGAUAUCUUGAUACUGGAACUGGAAUGUUGCUUUCUUGUCAGCAUACAAGUCUUAUUAAAUCUUCUGGCAUGAUUCAAAGUUUUAUGAAAUGGAAGAAAUGUCAAUAUAACUGAUCCCACUUUUACCACUCUAAGAAUGAACUGUGCAGUGUAUAUUGUAUCAUCCUGUCUUCCCCCAGUUAUAAGCCAUUAUUCACAAAAGUAUUUUUGUCUUAGUUGCAUUGCUGUACAUCAUAAGAUUUCCCCCCCCUUUUUUUUUUGUUUGUAUUUGGUUUUGCCUAAAGUUUUCCAGAUUCCAGGUUUUCCUUUGCUUUUGCUUCUCUGAGCAAUUUGACUUUAGCUUUUCUUUACUUUUGAAGCUCUUCUGCUAGUACCCUGCUUCAUGAUCUGAACAACAAAGACUUUUGUGAAAGCAAACAAUUUUCAGUCUUUGCUUGGUAAAGAACAGAUUGAAAAGCAGUAUCCCAUUACCUCUGAAAAUGUCUGGGUUUUUUCACCUGCUAAACUUUCAUCCACAGAAAUGGAACACUUCUUUCAUUUCCAGUUUCUCAAUGUGUCUUAGUUUUUUUCCCACUGCCGUAUGCACACUGAAUUACCCUGCACUCCUGAGAGAUUUCAUAUCAUACACUAAAGAGAACCAGCAAAUACAGUAACAGCUUCGAAUACAUUGAAACAUUGGAAAAACACAGAAGAAAAUAAUUACCAUUUUAUUUGUGUCAUUAGGCUAGACUGACACAGUUCCUUUCAGCAUACCAUCUGUCUUAGAUUGAAAUGGGAGUUUCCUAUUAAAUUAUGCAUUUGUAAGGAGUUCACAGCUGCAGAACAAGCAAAAUCUUUUAGCAUCUGCUCAGUCCAAAGAGAUCUUGACUUAAGGCAUCUUUGAAAGAAUAUUCUUGAAAUGGUGCUAUACUUCAAUGCCAGAAUGGUUUGUUCAUUACUGUUGUGCAUUUGCUAUUCUACAUUUAACCAUGGUGUUAUCAAACAGGACUGUGGAAGGAACACCCACUGGACAGAGUGGGCUUGUAUGACCUGAGAAGGCCUGCAAAUAUCUCCAGGCUUUUUAACUUCAGGUUUUCAAACCUAUAUGAUGUGAGAGCUUGAAAAUUUGACAGCUGUAAGAAGGCUGUGACUCUGAAAAGAGAAGGGCACUAUGAGAUCACCAACACUGCUUAGUCAUGGAUCUUGCUUUGCCACCAGGCAGUGAUAAAUAGUAGUAACAAUUGCAGCAUAUGUUCAGUCAGUAAUGAAUGCAUUUCAGACUACAACAGUUUUUGCUCUUGUCAGGUUUCCACUGUGUUUGUUCACUGAAGAGAAUGAUGAAUUUACUCUUACUUGAGCAUUCACCUCAAAUGUGUUUGUGUUUAAUAAUCUCUUUGUUUGAAGCACAGGAAAUGACUGUGUGCCAAAAAAAGGACUAAAUAUUUGGAUAGCAGUCCAGAAAGGUCAUGUUUUAUGCGCAAGGAUAAAGAUAAUCCAUCUGGGAUCAGCUGUCUUAUUUAAAAAAGGAUAUAUCAAGGAAAGCUUGGCAUUGGACCAUCAUGCUUGGGGAAGUACAACUAAAUUUGUGCUAUGAUGAUAAGAAGCUGUAAUGGCUGGUUUGUCACCAUCUGCUGCUUCAGAGGACUGUCUUUGGUCUGAUGCAGAGAAGUGGGGAUAGGGCUCAUUCUUGCAAAGCAAGGGCAACUUGAUGUAUGUGAGCAGUCCUGUUAAAACCAGCAGACCCACUUUGAGAGCAAAAAUAAACACAUGCAGGGUUUACCUAAUCUGAGAAUACCUUUUAAACAGCUAUUUAAUUUAAUGAUUGCAUAACCAGUUCCUCUGGCUCCUCACAAGUGAAAAUGUGGUGAUAAAUGAUACUUUGGCAUUGGCUAUCACUCAUUCUUGAUGACAGUUGGUUGACUGCAUUACUUAAAUGGGACUUAAAAUUUAAUUGUUCUUAAUCAAAUCAUUCUAUCACAAAUAAACCAACAUUCCUGAA